UGGGGAAUAUUGGACAAUGGGCGCAAGCCUGAUCCAGCCAUGCCGCGUGAGUGACGAAGGCCUUAGGGUUGUAAAGCUCUUUUGGCGGGGACGAUAAUGACGGUACCCGCAGAAUAAGCCCCGGCUAACUUCGUGCCAGCAGCCGCGGUAAUACGAAGGGGGCUAGCGUUGUUCGGAAUCACUGGGCGUAAAGCGCACGUAGGCGGAUUUGUUAGUCAGGGGUGAAAUCCCGGGGCUCAACCUCGGAACUGCCUUUGAUACUGCAAGUCUCGAGUCCGGAAGAGGUGAGUGGAAUUCCUAGUGUAGAGGUGAAAUUCGUAGAUAUUAGGAAGAACACCAGUGGCGAAGGCGGCUCACUGGUCCGGUACUGACGCUGAGGUGCGAAAGCGUGGGGAGCAAACA
rnacentral:rRNA from 1 species